rnacentral:ncRNA from 2 species
UGGAAGACUAGUGAUUUUUGUUGUU